rnacentral:rRNA from 1 species
AUUGAACGCUGGCGGCAGGCCUAACACAUGCAAGUCGAGCGGAUGAAGGGAGCUUGCUCCUGGAUUCAGCGGCGGACGGGUGAGUAAUGCCUAGGAAUCUGCCUGGUAGUGGGGGAUAACGUCCGGAAACGGGCGCUAAUACCGCAUACGUCCUGAGGGAGAAAGUGGGGGAUCUUCGGACCUCACGCUAUCAGAUGAGCCUAGGUCGGAUUAGCUAGUUGGUGGGGUAAAGGCCUACCAAGGCGACGAUCCGUAACUGGUCUGAGAGGAUGAUCAGUCACACUGGACCUGAGACACGGUCCGGACUCCUACAGGAGGCCACAGUGGGGAAUAUUGGACAAUGGGCGGAAGCCUGAUCCAGCCAUGUCGCGUGUAUGAAGAAGGUCUUCGGAUUGUAAAGCACUUUAAGUUGGGAGGACGGGCAGUAAGUUAAUACCUUGCUGUUUUGACGUUACCAACAGAAUAAGCACCGGCUAACUUCGUG